GACCGCGUAGCUCGGUUGGAAGAGCAUUGGGCUAGUAUUCCAAAGGUCAUGGGUUCGAAUCCCACCGUGGCCG
rnacentral:tRNA from 1 species